UUACGGCCGUAUCACGUUGAAACAUCAGCUCCUGUACGAUCACCGAAGUUUAACAACGUCGAGCCUGGUCAGUAGCAAGAUGGGUGACCGCCUAGAAAUACCAGGUGUUAUAA